rnacentral:lncRNA from 1 species
UUCGAUUUGAUUGUUGUUGGACUAUGUUACAAGCUUGAAAGUUCAUUUGGUUUUUUUGUUGCAAAUUGUUGUCAAGAUUUUAUUUUUUAUUUUUAUGAAUGAUGGUAUUUAGGGGUGGCAAACAGACCGUUAGACACAAACGUGAUUUCCUUUGAGUAUAUCAGAUCUUGAGCUUUGUAUUUCAAGGCCUUGCAGUUUUCUAUUGAGUGACCGGGAAUGCCAAAGUCGAACUCGCAUGGGGCGUUUGCAUCGUAACCAGAGGAAGGACCGUUGGUGGUGGUUCUAAUUCCCUCAACUGUACUAAUGAGCCACGUAACAAAAUAUGGUAAUAUUAGGCUGUAUGGCAUAAGAACUGGGUCGAAUCUUCUUUCAGGCCUUCGUUGUCUUGGUUGUUAUUGUUGUGGAUGAUAAUGUUGUUGUUGUUGAU